GACGGAGAAAACUAACGUUGUUCGGAAUUACUAGGCGUAAAACGCGCGUAGGCAGCGCAUUAAGUCAGAGGUGAAAGCCCGGGGCUCAACCCCGGAAUUGCCUUUGAGACUGGUGUGCUUGAGUACGGAAGAGGUGAGUGGAAUUCCCAGUGUAGAGGUGAAAUUCGUAGAUAUUGGGAAGAACACCAGUGGCGAAGGCGGCUCACUGGUCCGUAACUGACGCUGAGGUGCGAAAAACGUGGGGAGCAAACAGGAUUAGAUACCCGCGUAGUCC
rnacentral:rRNA from 1 species